GGCUCAGAUUGAACGCUGGCGGAAUGCUUUACACAUGCAAGUCGAACGGUAGAGGGGGCAACCCUUGAGAGUGGCGAACGGGUGAGUAAUAUAUCGGAACGUGCCCAGUCGUGGGGGAUAACGUAGCGAAAGCUACGCUAAUACCGCAUACUAUCUAUGGAUGAAAGCGGGGGAUCGCAAGACCUCGCGCGAUUGGAGCGGCCGAUAUCAGAUUAGGUAGUUGGUGAGGUAAAGGCUCACCAAGCCGACGAUCUGUAGCUGGUCUGAGAGGACGACCAGCCACACUGGGACUGAGACACGGCCCAGACUCCUACGGGAGGCAGCAGUGGGGAAUUUUGGACAAUGGGCGCAAGCCUGAUCCAGCAAUGCCGCGUGCAGGAUGAAGGCCUUCGGGUUGUAAACUGCUUUUGUACGGAACGAAACGGUGAGCUCUAAUACAGUUUGCUAAUGACGGUACCGUAAGAAUAAGCACCGGCUAACUACGUG
rnacentral:rRNA from 1 species